GGGAGAUUGGAUAAGUAACUCAACCUUGUUUCCUUGCAUAAUAAGUAAUAAUCAUCAUAUGUGUAAUGGGGGUAAUAACCGUUGUCUUACCUGCCUCACAUGGAGAAGAUGCUGUGAGAAUUAACCAGGUCUUCUAGCACAGUGACCUAUCAGCUGAGCUGCCCGAUCGUCAAUAGGAGCUCAGCAUGUGGACCAAGUGAAGGACGUGCUCUAGAGAACAGAACUGCAAGCGAGAAUCCUAGUGUGGAGUUUGGUGAGGAGAACUGUACCCCAAAUUCCAGGAAUUAGGACAUAAAAGCACUGAAAGACAGUUGUGGAUACUACAAUGAGAAGACUUCAGCUAGACACAAGACACAUAUCUGCUCAGUAUUUUUUCACCGUAAUUUUCCACAGUGGAAGUUGGAGCCGUGCACUCACAUUGUGAGGUGACCUCCUUUCAUUGUGGGUAGGAGAUAAUGGAAUGGUCUGUUCAGCUGUAACCAGGCAAGAUUG